GACGAACGCUGGCGGCGUGCUUAACACAUGCAAGUCGAACGGAAAGGCCCUGCUUUUGUGGGGUGCUCGAGUGGCGAACGGGUGAGUAACACGUGAGUAACCUGCCCUUGACUUUGGGAUAACUUCAGGAAACUGGGGCUAAUACCGGAUAGGAGCUCCUGCUGCAUGGUGGGGGUUGGAAAGUUUCGGCGGUUGGGGAUGGACUCGCGGCUUAUCAGCUUGGUGGUGGGGUAGUGGCUUACCAAGGCUGUGACGGGUAGCCGGCCUGAGAGGGUGACCGGCCACAUUGGGACUGAGAUACGGCCCAGACUCCUACGGGAGGCAGCAGUGGGGAAUAUUGCACAAAGGGCGGAAGCCUGAUGCAGCAACGCCGCGUGCGGGAUGACGGCCUUCGGGUUGUAAACCGCUUUCGCCUGUGACGAAGCGUGAGUGACGGUAAUGGGUAAAGAAGCACCGGCUAACUACGUG
rnacentral:rRNA from 1 species